GCAGCCGUCUUGGUGCCCGGCAGGGACUGCUGGGCCAGUCUCUUAGUUGUCCUGGGCCCCUGGAUGAUUUUCCUCUCCUGAUGUGGGGAAACGAGGCUCCGGCAGAAUAUGUCCCCAACUGUCAGCGUUAUUCCGAUAAUACUGCAUGCCUACUGUGUGCCAGGCAAGGCACUGUGCUUUGGCUUGUGAGUUUGUCUCUGAUUCCAAAAGCCGGAAGGGUUCAAUGCUAAAGAUCCUGCCCAGUUCUCAAGCCAAAGUUAACAAAAGAAUGAACAUUUCAAGACCACCGGCGGCAUCACUGGGCAGGGAUCCUGAGUACCUGGGACCUUUCAUUACCACUGUCUGGCCUCCAGACUAAGGCUCUUUGUGACAGCCGUGGUCCAUAAGCCCCUGAGAUAAAACUGAAAUGAUGGCUCCAGCAGCCCUCCUUAUCCACGUAUGAUAUGUCUUCCUCUGCGACUUCCCACCCCCUGAGCCCUUGGUCUCAGGCUAAUCCUACUGAGGACCCACCAGGUCUCGGUGA